GAGUAGAUGAGGUGCUACAUGCAGGGCCCUGAGAACUGUCCUGUCGCUCAGGAAGCAAGUUUUGCAGGGUGUGGACAAUCGGGCAAGUGACUGCAUGUGACAACAGAGAGAGGGCAUGGUACACGGUGGCAGAUGAGCCCGGGACUGGAGGCAGAUCUGGGUUCCAGUUCGGGCUCUACCAGCAGCACCCAUGUGUCCUUCUGUUCUCUGGGCCUCAAUUUCCUGUUGUAAAAUUCAGAACUUGGAAGAGGUAAGUGGUUAGGUCAUUCCUGAGACAUCCCAGAUAAUCACAGCCAUCCAAACGUUGGCUCGGGAGCCCUGAGUAACCAAGACUGCAGGAAGCAACAGUUUAGUAAGGGUUCAGAAUCCUGUGAUUAGGGCUCGAGAAUGAAAUACUCUUCUAAGAGCUUCUCCCAGACCAAAAGGAGCUAAUUAGGAAAGAAUGGUGGCAUUCUCUGGGCAAACUGGAGGAGCCCCUGGGCUUGGCCUCCUUAUGCCUUCCUCCUUGACCCUCCUCUAGCCCCCUUGGACACAACACAACGUCCCCCCUCUGCUUUUUCCCCAGAUACUAUGGUAAACCUGCUCUCAGAUCUUUCUCCACACCUAGAAAAAUUCAUUCAUCGACUAUACACUUUAAUGAAUAUGCACUUACUAUGUACCAGAUAUUCUUUGGCUGCUAGGGCAGAGCAGCAGGGACAUAGCCCCUGUCCCCGUGGGGUCAACAUGCUGGUGGAGGGAGUCAGAGGUAAUAAAAUAAGCAAGUAAGACACACAGUAGAGCAGGCAGAGUUGGCGGAGAACUGGAUCUAACUGGGUUGGGGUUUUGCCAAGCAAGUACAGUCCAACUUGGAGUGUGGAGGGAAGGGUAUAGAAAAGGUAGGGACUAGAAUAACUAACCCUGGAAUUUAGGCUGGGAAAGGAGGGAGUAGGGAUUUGAAAGCGGGUGAGGUCAGUAGUCUGUGGGGCCCUGAGGGGCGAUGGCUCCAAGGCACGAGCCGGAAAGAGGUUUGACAGUGGCUUCUCUGGAGGGCUCAAGCUUGACCAGGAAACUGAGUGCCGAGCCCUGGAAGAUCACUGGGGAGAGGAGGUCAAAGAACUGGGAGGCCAGGGCACCAUCGGCGGGCUGGUAAGUGGAUGGUGAAACCACCAGGCAGGGGGCAGGAGGAGCUGGAGAGAGGACGCGAGAUGGGAGCUAAAAUCCUAAAAUCCGCAGGGAGUGCGGAAAGCAGUGACAGCAGUGAGCGCGGGGAGGCUGGUCCUGAGUCUGGGAUGGGGCGAUGGCGUUCAAGAAGACAUAUUUAAGAGUACUAUGUAAUUUUACGUGUGGGAAGAACCUUUUGUUUUUGUAAUUAGAACUACAGAAAGGGACAGAGCUGUUUAUGUCAUGAAAAGCAGGCCUGAGCAUUAGAAGACUGAGAAACACCUGGGAGGAUCUUGUUUCAACAGAGCUCAAAGCCGUGGCAAAAGGACGGAGCUCGAAUUGUGCAAUUAAACCCAGGCCCCCAGCAAAUGGAAAAUGCCAUCCACUGGCACAGAGACUUCAGUUGGGAGCCGAGGACUGAACUCAGACCACCAUUCUUUGUUCAACAUUUCUUCCUGAGGGGCCUGGAGGAAGUCACACCCACAGGCCAGAGCUCAACAUUCCUUUCUGCUGACCCCAGGCACCAGUCCAUGGCACUCCCUAUGCCUGCAGGAUACCACAUCAAAGCAGAGUUGGGGGAGCAUUUCAGGAGGUUCCUGUGAAAAACCUACAUGCACACACCCCCACGUGCAGCUGCAGACUGCUAUCUAUACACGAAGUUAUGCAUCGCAGAGUCGACUGCAAAAGGCUGGAGCCCACACAGCGUCUAUCAAUAGGGAACGGGUUAAAUCGACCACAAGAUUUCCAUAUGACGAUGGAACACUUUCCAGCCAAGAAAGGAGGAGGAAGUCCUCACUGCUCUGAUACGGAACAGUCACCAAGACAUAUUUUAAGUAAAAAAAAGGCAGCAUGCAUAACCAGGGAAAUGAAAACUAAAACCACAGUGAGUUACAAUUUCACACAGAUCCAUCUACAAAAAAAAAAAAGCUGAUAAUUGCAGGUGUUGGUGAAGAAGUGGAGUGAGGGGAAUGCUCAAACUACUAGUGGGUGUGCGAAUGGUUAUAACCACUUUUUAAAAUUUUGGCAUUAUCUACUGAAGUUGACAAUGUACUUUCCCAAUGGCCUUGCAAAUGCCCUGGAGAAGUUCUUACCCAACCCCCGCCAUUCCCCCCAACACACACCAAAAGAAACAAUUAAGAACAUUUGCACCAGCUCUGUUCCUAGAACCCCAAAACUGAGGCCAGCACUGAGGCCAAGCACAGUGGCUCAUGCCUGUAAUCCCAGCAGGCAUGAGCCACCCUUUGGGAGCCUGAGGCCGGAGG
rnacentral:lncRNA from 1 species